CCUACGGGAGGCAUCAGUGAGGAAUAUUGGUCAAUGGCCGGAAGGCUGAACCAGCCAUGCCGCGUGAAGGUCAGUGCCCUAUGGGCGUUAAACUUCUUUUGUGCGGGAGCAAUAAUGGUCACGUGUGGCCAGACGAGAGUACCGUACGAAUAAGCAUCGGCUAACUCCUGGCCAGCAGCCGCGGUAAUACGGGGGAUGCAAGCGUUAUCCGGAUUUAUUGGGUUUAAAGGGUGCGUAGGCUGUGAGGUAAGUCAGCGGUGAAAUGCCCCCGCUCAACGGGGUGAAGUGCCAUUGAUACUGCCUUGCUUGAAUGCGGAGGCCGUGGGAGGAAUGUGUGGUGUAGCGGUGAAAUGCAUAGAUAUCACACAGAACACCGAUUGCGAAGGCAUCUCACGAAUCCGCGAUUGACGCUGAUGCACGAAAGCGUGGGUAUCAAACAGGAUUAGAUACCCCUGUAGUC
rnacentral:rRNA from 1 species